GGUGGCUCAGUGGUAGAGUGCUUACCUUGCAUGCAUGAGACCCUGGGUUCAAUUCCUCAGCACCA
rfam:Dipodomys ordii contig_37100, whole genome shotgun sequence.